GAUGAACGCUGGCGGCGUGCCUAAUACAUGCAAGUCGAGCGAACAGACGAGGGGCUUGCUCCUCUGACGUUAGCGGCGGACGGGUUAGUAACACGUGGAUAACCUACCUAUAAGACUGGGAUAACUUCGGGAAACCGGAGCUAAUACCGGAUAAUAUAUUGAACCGUAUGGUUCAAUAGUGAAAGACGGUUUUGCUGUCAUUUAUAGAUGGAUCCGCGCCGCAUUAGCUAGUUGGUAAGGUAACGGCUUACCAAGGCAACGAUGCGUAGCCGACCUGAGAGGGUGAUCGGCCACACUGGAACUGAGACACGGUCCAGCCUCCUACGGGAGGCAGCAGUAGGGAAUCUUCCGCAAUGGGCGAAAGCCUGACGGAGCAACGCCGCGUGAGUGAUGAAGGUCUUCGGAUCGUAAAACUCUGUUAUUAGGGAAGAACAAAUGUGUAAGUAACUAUGCACGUCUUGACGGUACCUAAUCAGAAAGCCGCGGCUAACUACGUG
rnacentral:rRNA from 1 species